rnacentral:lncRNA from 1 species
GAGUUACUGCACACGGAGAAAGACCAGCUGACAUUGGCAAUUGAAAGAGGUAAACAAGAGUCCACAGAAAGUUUGGCACAAGCAGAGAGUCAGAACACUGAAUUAUCACAAAAGGUUGUGGAUCAGGAAUUAAAGCUGAAAGAACAGGAGGAAGCGCUCGGGAAGUUAGUGGAAGAGAAGGAAGGUCUAGUGGUACAGAUCAAUGAACUCCAGGCUGAAGUGAAAUCCCUUUGUGAACAGAAGAGUACCUUGGAAGAAAACAUAAGCAGUGCAAACAAUGAGAACAAUCUACUGAAGGAGGAAAAGGGAAGUCUUUUAAGCAAACUAUCUGAUCUGGAGAAUGCAUUAACCGAGAAAGUUGAUGAGCAUGGUCAGACUUUGGCACACGCAGAGAAUCAGCACACUGAAUUAUCACAAAAGAUCGUGGAUCGGGAAAUGAAGCUUAAAGAACAUGAGGAAGCAUUUGGAAAGUUGGGCGAGGAGCACAAACAGCUUGAUGGUAUGCUCCAGGAGUACAAGGAAAGUCUCAAACUUGCAGAAAUGAAGAUUGAAGAGAUGAC